rnacentral:rRNA from 1 species
CCUAGGGUGCGCUGCAGUGGGGAAUAUUGGACAAUGGGCGAAAGCCUGAUCCAGCCAUGCCGCGUGUGUGAAGAAGGCCUUCGGGUUGUAAAGCACUUUCAGUGGGGAAGAAAGCCUUGGGGCUAAUACCCUCGAGGAAGGACAUCACCCACAGAAGAAGCACCGGCUAACUCCGUGCCAGCAGCCGCGGUAAUAGGGAGGGUGCGAGCGUUAAUCGGAAUUACUGGGCGUAAAGCGCGCGUAGGCGGUCUGAUAAGCCGGUUGUGAAAGCCCCGGGCUCAACCUGGGAACGGCAUCCGGAACUGUCAGGCUAGAGUGCAGGAGAGGAAGGUAGAAUUCCCGGUGUAGCGGUGAAAUGCGUAGAGAGCGGGAGGAAUACCAGUGGCGAAGGCGGCCUUCUGGACUGACACUGACGCUGAGGUGCGAAAGCGUGGGUAGCAAACAGGAUUAGAUACCCGAGUAGUC